rnacentral:rRNA from 1 species
AUUGAACGCUGGCGGCAUGCUUUACACAUGCAAGUCGAACGGUAACAGGCCGCAAGGUGCUGACGAGUGGCGAACGGGUGAGUAAUGCAUCGGAACGUGCCCAGUCGUGGGGGAUAACGCAGCGAAAGCUGUGCUAAUACCGCAUACGAUCUAUGGAUGAAAGCGGGGGACCGUAAGGCCUCGCGCGAUUGGAGCGGCCGAUGUCAGAUUAGGUAGUUGGUGGGGUAAAGGCCCACCAAGCCAACGAUCUGUAGCUGGUCUGAGAGGACGACCAGCCACACUGGGACUGAGACACGGCCCAGACUCCUACGGGAGGCAGCAGUGGGGAAUUUUGGACAAUGGGCGCAAGCCUGAUCCAGCAAUGCCGCGUGCAGGAAGAAGGCCUUCGGGUUGUAAACUGCUUUUGUACGGAACGAAACGGUCUGGGUUAAUACCCUGGGCUAAUGACGGUACCGUAAGAAUAAGCACCGGCUAACUACGUGCCAGCAGCCGCUGUAACAC